rfam:Picea glauca, whole genome shotgun sequence.
GCAAUGGUGUCUUUAGACACCACCAUUAUUCUCAAAUCCUCAGUU